rnacentral:rRNA from 1 species
AGUGAACGCUGGCUGUAGGCCUAACACAUGCAAGUCGAACGGCAGCACAGUAAGAUCUUGCUCUUACUGGUGGCGAGUGGCGGACGGGGGAGGAAUACAUCGGAAUCUACUUUUUCGUGGGGGAUAACGUAGUGAAACUUACGCGAAUACCGCAUACGACCUACGGGUGAAAGCAUGGGAUCUUCGGACCUUGCGCGAUUGAAUUAGCCGAUGUUGGAUUAGCUAGUUUGCGGGGCAAAGGCCCACCAAGGCGACGAUCCGUAGCUGGUCUGAGCGGAGGAUCAGCCACCCUGGAACUGAGACAAGGUCCAGACUCCUACGGGAGGCAGCGGUGGGGAAUAUUGGACAAUGGGCGCAAGCCUAGUCCAGACAUACCGAGUGGGUGAAGAAGGCAUUCGGGUUGUAAAGCCCUUUUGUUGGGAAAGAAAAGCAACAGGUUAAUACCCCGCUGUUCUGACGGUACCCAAAGAAUAAGCACCGGCUAACUUCGUG